CGAACGCUGGCGGCGUGCUUAACACAUGCAAGACGAACGGAAAGGCCCUGCUUGCAGGGUACUCGAGUGGCGAACGGGAGAGUAACACGUGGGUGAUCUGCCCUGCACUUCGGGAUAAGCCUGGGAAACUGGGUCUAAUACCGGAUAGGAGCCAUUUUUAGUGUGAUGGUUGGAAAGUUUUUUCGGUGUAGGAUGAGCUCGCGGCCUAUCAGCUUGUUGGUGGGGUAAUGGCCUACCAAGGCGGCGACGGGUAGCCGGCCUGAGUGGGUGGACGGCCACAUUGGGACUGAGAUACGGCCCCGACUCCUACGGGUGGCAGCAGUGGGGAAUUUUGCUCAAUGGGCGCAAGCCUGAUGCAGCGACGCCGCGUGGGGGAUGACGGCCUUCGGGUUGUAAACUCCUUUCGCUAGGGACGAAGCUUUUUGUGACGGUACCUAGAUAAGAAGCACCGGCUAACUACGUG
rnacentral:rRNA from 1 species